rnacentral:piRNA from 2 species
UACAGCAAAUGGGACACAGUACU